AAGGUAUAUGCAGCCGGAAGCUUUCCAAACUCCGCCCACUGUUUCGACUACCUUGGGACCCCUUCGAGGAGGGGGGGAGCUCAGAGAUAAUGGACCUUUGUCAAGUGGUGGAUAGAG
ensembl:ncRNA F55A8.4 ncRNA